rnacentral:rRNA from 1 species
AACGAACGCUGGCGGCAUGCCUAACACAUGCAAGUCGAACGAAGUCUUCGGACUUAGUGGCGCACGGGUGCGUAACGCGUGGGAAUCUGCCCUUGGGUACGGAAUAACUCAGAGAAAUUUGUGCUAAUACCGUAUAAUGUCUUCGGACCAAAGAUUUAUCGCCCAAGGAUGAGCCCGCGUAAGAUUAGCCAGUUGGUGGGGUAAAAGCCUACCAAGGCGACGAUCUUUAGCUGGUCUGAGAGGAUGAUCAGCCACACUGGGACUGAGACACGGCCCAGACUCCUACGGGAGGCAGCAGUGGGGAAUAUUGGACAAUGGGCGAAAGCCUGAUCCAGCAAUGCCGCGUGAGUGAUGAAGGCCCUAGGGUUGUAAAGCUCUUUUACCAGGGAUGAUAAUGACGGUACCUGGAGAAUAAGCUCCGGCUAACUCCGUG